rnacentral:rRNA from 1 species
UACGUAGGGCGCAAGCGUUGUCCGGAAUUAUUGGGCGUAAAGAGCUCGUAGGCGGUCUGUCACGUCUGCCGUGAAAACCCGAGGCUUAACCUCGUGGCUUGCGGUGGAUACGGGGCAGACUAGAGUAUUGCAGGGGGAGACUGGAAUUCCUGGUGUAGCGGUGAAAUGCGCAGAUAUCAGGAGGAACACCGGUGGCGAAGGCGGGUCUCUGGGCAAUAACUGACGCUGAGGAGCGAAAGCGUGGGGAGCGAACAGG